GUUCUUAUAGCUCAAUUGGAUAGAGUUGCCGCCUACGAAGCGGUCGAUAUAGGUUCAAAUCCUUUUAGGAACA
rnacentral:tRNA from 2 species